UCGAGCGGACCGACGGGAGCUUGCUCCCUUAGGUCAGCGGCGGACGGGUGAGUAACACGUGGGUAACCUGCCUGUAAGACUGGGAUAACUCCGGGAAACCGGGGCUAAUACCGGAUGCUUGAUUGAACCGCAUGGUUCAAUCAUAAAAGGUGGCUUUUAGCUACCACUUACAGAUGGACCCGCGGCGCAAUAGCUAGUUGGUGAGGUAACGGCUCACCAAGGCGACGAUGCGUAGCCGACCUGAGAGGGUGAUCGGCCACACUGGGACUGAAACACGGCCCAAACUCCUACGGGAGGCAGCAGUAGGGAAUCUUCCGCAAUGGACGAAAGUCUGACGGAACAACGCCGCGUGAGUGAUGAAGGUUUUCGGAUCGUAAAACUCUGUUGUUAGGGAAGAACAAGUACCGUUCGAAUAGGGCGGCACCUUGACGGUACCUAACCAGAAAGCCACGGCUAACUACGUGCCAGCAGCCGCGGUAAUACGUAGGUGGCAAGCGUUGUCCGGAAUUAUUGGGCGUAAAGCGCGCGCAGGCGGUUUCUUAAGUCUGAUGUGAAAGCCCCCGGCUCAACCGGGGAGGGUCAUUGGAAACUGGGGAACUUGAGUGCAGAAGAGGAGAGUGGAAUUCCACGUGUAGCGGUGAAAUGCGUAAAGAUGUGGAGGAACACCAGUGGCGAAGGCGACUCUCUGGUCUGUAACUGACGCUGAAGCGCGAAAGCGUGGGGAGCGAACAGGAUUAGAUACCCUGGUAGUCCACGCCGUAAACGAUGAGUGCUAAGUGUUAGAGGGUUUCCGCCCUUUAGUGCUGCAGCAAACGCAUUAAGCACUCCGCCUGGGGAGUACGGUCGCAAGACUGAAACUCAAAGGAAUUGACGGGGGCCCGCACAAGCGGUGGAGCAUGUGGUUUAAUUCGAAGCAACGCGAAGAACCUUACCAGGUCUUGACAUCCUCUGACAACCCUAGAGAUAGGGCUUCCCCUUCGGGGGCAGAGUGACAGGUGGUGCAUGGUUGUCGUCAGCUCGUGUCGUGAGAUGUUGGGUUAAGUCCCGCAACGAGCGCAACCCUUGAUCUUAGUUGCCAGCAUUCAGUUGGGCACUCUAAGGUGACUGCCGGUGACAAACCGGAGGAAGGUGGGGAUGACGUCAAAUCAUCAUGCCCCUUAUGACCUGGGCUACACACGUGCUACAAUGGGCAGAACAAAGGGCAGCGAAGCCGCGAGGCUAAGCCAAUCCCACAAAUCUGUUCUCAGUUCGGAUCGCAGUCUGCAACUCGACUGCGUGAAGCUGGAAUCGCUAGUAAUCGCGGAUCAGCAUGCCGCGGUGAAUACGUUCCCGGGCCUUGUACACACCG
rnacentral:rRNA from 1 species